CAGAUAAUGCUUCGACACUCAGACACAACGAAAAUCAACAACUCUGCUUCUCUCUCUUUCCUUCUCUCUCCUUCUCUCUCUUUCUCCUCCACAUCUGCGGACUGCGGUCCAAAUCAGAUCGAUGCUGGGAGAAAAUGAAACUGCAUUAACAGGAAGGGGAGAGCGGCUUCAGCCAGCGUGUACAAGGACUCAUCUCCUGGCCCCGCUCCCAUCUAUUGGAGACAUUAUGACGAACAGAAAAAGAGAGGCAAUGAAGAUGAAUAUGUCCAUAAACGAUUGUGCUUCAUGUGUGCCUUUUUAUGAAUAGAAAAAUUAAGUUUAAAUUUUGAGAACAAAAGCAAAGUGUAUGCAGUGCCAGCAGCUUUUCAUCUAGUCAAGUUAGUAUCAUGAAAUAUGAGAAUAGCUCUUAUAACAGAGGAGAGACAGCAACUGUUCAACACUGUCUAUCCAGUGUGAUGAUAUUCAUAAAUACAAUUCAGCACCAGCCACAUAAGAUGCAAUGCACACCUGGAGUCCCACACAGUAUCACACAGCAAAAUCAAGCCUAUUUGAAAUUAGUAGAAAACACAAGUGUGGGAUAGACUAGUUAAAAUACAGUUGUUUUUUUUCCAGUUCACCAAAAAAGCAACAAUUACAGUGAUAAAAAAAUUAUGCUUACUAUAGUUUUUGCUUCAUUUUAGUGUUAAACUAUUUGCAUGAAGACUGUGUGCAACUAUUCCUGUUUCUCAUGAGAUAAUCAUGAGGGCCACUGACCUUGUGAAAAGCACAGAAUGCCCCUGAGGGCAGAGCGCAUGUGGAGGAGACGCAGGGCCUGACCAGAGAUAAGAAGAAAGCUACUUAUUGCAUGAACCGAAUAACUAACUUGACUCCCAACUCCUAUAAAAAGCCACUGUUGAGAACACUCAUAAGUCAUUUUCUGUACUUAUGCUGAAGUGCUGUAAACUGACUCUACUUGCUGCAAGUAAACAAACUUUUAAGAGAA